GACGAACGCUGGCGGCGUGCUUAACACAUGCAAGUCGAGCGGUAAGGCCCUUUCGGGGGUACGACGAGCGGCGAACGGGUGAGUAACACGUGGGUGACCUGCCCUUAGCUCUGGGAUAAGCCUGGGAAACGUGGGUCUAAUACCGGAUAUGACUCCAUAACGCAUGUUGUGGGGUGGAAAGCCUUGUGCGGCUAGGGAUGGGCCCGCGGCCUAUCAGCUUGUUGGUGGGGUGAUGGCCACCAAGGCGACGACGGGUAGCCGGCCUGAGAGGGCGACCGGCCACACUGGGACUGAGACACGGCCCAGACUCCUACGGGAGGCAGCAGUGGGGAAUCUUGCGCAAUGGGCGAAAGCCUGACGCAGCGACGCCGCGUGGGGAGU
rnacentral:rRNA from 1 species